ACAAACUUGGUCAUUUAGAGGAAGUAAAAGUCGUAACAAGGUUUCCGUAGGUGAACCUGCGGAAGGAUCAUUAACGAAUUGCGUUCGGGGUUGUUGCUGGCUCUCCUCUCGGGGGGAGUAUGUGCACGCCUCGCAUCCAUUUCAACCUCACUCGUGCACUUCAGAGGACCGCUCGGUUCUCUUUUUCCACACAAACCUCUGUAUAGUCAUUGUAGAACGUCUUGUAUUAAACUAAAUACAACUUUCAACAACGGAUCUCUUGGCUCUCGCAUCGAUGAAGAACGCAGC
rnacentral:misc_RNA from 1 species